rnacentral:misc_RNA from 1 species
UUAACUAUUUAAGUCACUGCUCGGACGUCACGGUUGACAGGGUUGGAGGGUCUCUGACGGGCGCACGUCCACCGAGGUCGACGGGGGGCCGGAGCCCCGCGGCCCGCCAAAGCAACAAAGGUAGGUAGACAUGGGUGGGAGGUUCGGGCCCCGAAAAACCCUAUCUCGGUAAUGAUCCCUCCGCAGGUUCACCUACGGAAA